AUGCACGCUGGCGGCGUGCCUAAUACAUGCAAGUCGAGCGAACAGACGAGGAGCUUGCUCCUCUGACGUUAGCGGCGGACGGGUGAGUAACACGUGGAUAACCUACCUAUAAGACUGGGAUAACUUCGGGAAACCGGAGCUAAUACCGGAUAACAUGUUGAACCGCAUGGUUCAACAGUGAAAGACGGUCUUGCUGUCACUUAUAGAUGGAUCCGCGCCGCAUUAGCUAGUUGGUAAGGUAACGGCUUACCAAGGCAACGAUGCGUAGCCGACCUGAGAGGGUGAUCGGCCACACUGGAACUGAGACACGGUCCAGACUCCUACGGGAGGCAGCAGUAGGGAAUCUUCCGCAAUGGGCGAAAGCCUGACGGAGCAACGCCGCGUGAGUGAAGAAGGUCUUCGGAUCGUAAAACUCUGUUAUUAGGGAAGAACAAAUGUGUAAGUAACUAUGCACGUCUUGACGGUACCUAAUCAGAAAGCCACGGCUAACUACGUG
rnacentral:rRNA from 1 species